rnacentral:lncRNA from 10 species
CUUCCUUUUAGCUCUCAGCUUGCCUAGGUACCCUGUAAGGUCCAGUGACAAGUCACCUCCUCUGCAUGUCCAUAGCAACUGCCCCACAACGUGUCAUUCAACAAACAUUCAUGGUGCACCCACUACACCCCUAGCCUUGUGUGUACAACACUGCCCCUCACCAUAUCUCAUUUAAUUAGAAUAAGCCCCAUAUCCACAGGUCCAUGCAUAGAAAACAGCGCUGGAAAGGCACCACUACAUCUGACGAAACUGAACUGUGUUCGGUUAGGGGGUGGAGGGGAGUGGUUGGCAUUUUCUUCUAUCUACUAUUGUGCAUUUUGCAAGUGUCAAGUGAACCUGUUACACUUCCACAAUGAGGGAAAAAUAUCAGUGUUCUUUUAAAAUAAUGUUUGGAUUCCUAAUUUAAAUAAAACGAACUCUUUGGCAGCUCCCUGCUCCUA